rnacentral:ncRNA from 1 species
AUAUAGGCAGAGACGAAGACAGUAAUUGUUAGGUGUAGUGAAGCGAUUUGGGGAUGGUGCAAGCCCAAACAAACAACUAACAAUGAAGAUCACUUCCGAGCUAAAUAACUGAAAGCAGUAAGUUAUUUCGUAGUGCACAACGUUAACGUGCUUGAAGAGGCAGUGCAAUUUGAAUUGUGCUGCAACUAGGGUGGUACCGCGAGUAGAAGCUUCUCGUCCCUUUU